GAAGUGUACAUGCACAGAUAUAAAAUAUUUGGCCGGUGGCAAGCAACUAUCGUAUGACCACCAGCAUGGAGUAUCUGAUUUGGAAUUUCGUUGAUGGAACUGAAUCUAACCAUUACCCCUACAGUUCUGUAGACCUGGAAGUUAUUCUCCGUGGAGAAUGUCAGGUGAUGCGCACCAUGUGGAGAGACGAGGGGGAGAAGAUGAAUAAGGAGGUCGAGUUGACCGAAGACUAAGCAGCGGAGGGCUCAUUGUCUUCCUCCAGGUUGUCGAGUACAGGAGCGACAACAGCAAGUUGUUCCCUGAGAGAUACAUAGCUCUUGUCUUUCUGCUCAAGUAUUGAGAAAUUAACAAAAGCAUCAUAGAAGAGAUGCAAAGCUGAAAUUCUAUUGUGCAAGGAAGCAGAAGAGUUAAGCGCAGACAAGAACAAAUUGACGAAGAAAAGGCGCGAAGGAAUCUCGAAGCACAGGAGGAAAAGCAGCGAUAUCUGAAGAGAAAGAAUUCCAGACAAAAAUGUGCUGCGAUGCAAAUUCUGUAUUCAGCAAACAGAACUCCACUUCACUCAGCGGCAGCAAGCAAAGGCCAGCACGUACCUGAAGCUCUCUGAGCAAAGCGCCGCAGCCUGUACCCUCCAUGCCCACCAUGGAACCAAGCAACAGAGGAAGCAGCUAGCUCAAAGAAGAGAAGAGGAGAAAGGACAAGACGAGGAAAGGUAGCAAAGUCUCAGGCUUCUUCACCCCCCCCCCAGGCCUUUCAGGUACGCCGAGGUGAGCAGCUAGCGUCUGUGCUUUUAGCCUCGUCUCCCUCCUUGGGAUUAGAAAACGAGAGAGAGAGAGAGAG